rnacentral:rRNA from 1 species
AUUGAACGCUGGCGGCAUGCCUUACACAUGCAAGUCGAGCGGUAACAGGUCUUCGGAUGCUGACGAGUGGCGAACGGGUGAGUAAUACAUCGGAACGUGCCUAGUAGUGGGGGAUAACUACUCGAAAGAGUGGCUAAUACCGCAUGAGAUCUACGGAUGAAAGCAGGGGAUCGCAAGACCUUGUGCUACAAGAGCGGCCGAUGGCAGAUUAGGUAGUUGGUGGGAUAAAAGCUUACCAAGCCGACGAUCUGUAGCUGGUCUGAGAGGACGAUCAGCCACACUGGGACUGAGACGCGGCCCAGACUCCUACGGGAGGCAGCAGUGGGGAAUUUUGGACAAUGGGCGAAAGCCUGAUCCAGCAAUGCCGCGUGCAGGAUGAAGGCCUUCGGGUUGUAAACUGCUUUUGUACGGAACGAAAAGCCCCGGGUUAAUACCCUGGGGUCAUGACGGUACCGUAAGAAUAAGCACCGGCUAACUACGUGCCAGCCGCCGCCGUAA